AGGGGCAGCAUAACGAAAGCUUGCUUUUGUUGAUGGCGACCGGCGCACGGGUGAGUAACGCGUAUCCAACCUUCCCUAUACUAGAGGAUAGCCCGGCGAAAGUCGGAUUAAUACUCUAUGUUGUAUUUCGAAGACAUCUGAAGAAUACCAAAGGUUUACCGGUAUAGGAUGGGGAUGCGUCUGAUUAGGUUGUUGGCGGGGUAACGGCCCACCAAGCCCACGAUCAGUAGGGGUUCUGAGAGGAAGGUCCCCCACAUUGGAACUGAGACACGGUCCAAACUCCUACGGGAGGCAGCAGUGAGGAAUAUUGGUCAAUGGACGAGAGUCUGAACCAGCCAAGUAGCGCGCAGGAUGACGGCCCUAUGGGUUGUAAACUGCUUUUAUAUAGGGAUAAAGUGCACUACGUGUAGUGUUUUGUAGGUACUAUAUGAAUAAGGACCGGCUAAUUCCGUGCCAGCAGCCGCGGUAAUACGGAAGGUCCGGGCGUUAUCCGGAUUUAUU
rnacentral:rRNA from 1 species